rnacentral:misc_RNA from 1 species
GUGAACGCCCUCACGGGCUUAUACUAUUCCAAACCUCUGUGAACCGUGCCCUUCGGGGCUAUUUUACAAACAUGGUGUAAUGAACGUCAUAUAUCAUAACGAAACA